AAAAAGGGCUUCUGCUAUGAGUGACACACAUAGGGCAUCAUUUGCUCUUUGUGCCAGAAUCAACAUCAAGAGAUUUCAGAAGCAAACAAUUUUUGGUACUUGGGUAGCCUGAUGAUCAUUGGUCCUGGAGCCCUU
rnacentral:snRNA from 1 species